UACGAAGGGGGCUAGCGUUACUCGGAAUGACUGGGCGUAAAGGGCGCGUAGGCGGCCUCGUCCGUCCGGCGUGAAAUGCCUGGGCUCAACCUAGGAAUGCGCUCGAUACAGCGAGGCUAGAGUGUGGGAGAGGUUGGUGGAAUUCCCAGUGUAGAGGUGAAAUUCGUAGAUAUUGGGAAGAACACCGGUGGCGAAGGCGGCCAACUGGACCACAACUGACGCUGAGGCGCGAAAGCGUGGGGAGCAAACAGG
rnacentral:rRNA from 1 species